GCCGGGCAUGGUGGUGGAGCGUGCCUGUAGUCCCAGCUACUUGGAAGGCUGAGGUGGGAGAAUUGCUUGAGCCCAGGAGUUCUAGGCUGUAGUGCGCUAUGCUGAUUGGGUGUCUGUACUAAGUUUGACAUCAAUGUGAUGACCUCCCAGGAGUGGGGGACCACAAGGUUGCCUAAGGAGGGGUGAACCAGUCCAGGUUGGAAACAGAGCAGGUCAAAACUCCGGUGCUGAUCGAUAGUGGGAUUGCGCCUGUGAAUAGCCACUGCACUCCAGUUUGGGCAACAUAGUGAGCCUCCUCUUUA
rnacentral:SRP_RNA from 1 species